GCAAGUCGAACGAGAACGGGUUACAGUUUACUGUAACUGUCAGCUAAGUGGCGCACGGGUGUGAAACAUAUAGUUAACCUGCCCCAAAGAAGAGAAUAAUUGUUGGAAACGACUUGUAAUGCUCUAUAUGCCUUUAUCACAAAAGUGAGCAAGGGAAAUAUUUAUAGCUUUGGGAUGGGACUGUACGGUAUCAGUUAGUUGGUGAGGUAAUGGCUCACCAAGACUAUGACGCCUAGCUGGUUUGAGAGGAUGAUC
rnacentral:rRNA from 1 species